AUUUCAGUGGAGGAGACAGUAGGAUGGAAGCUGCCAUGGAGGGGCGAUGAGAGUUAUGCGCGGAAGAUCACCGGGGGCUUGUUACUCUGAUUCUGAUUCCGACUCUGGGUCUGGAGUGGGGCUGGAGAAGAUACAACGGAAUAAGCUCCCAGUCCCUAGGCAACCACUGAUCCAUCUGUCUCUGAAGAGCAUUUCACAUAUUUCUGGACCCUCGUAUAAAUGGAAUCAGACAGCAG